AUCAGACGAUCAGUCACUUGAUAAAUUAGAAAAAAUAGACUUGAAUCAGAUUAGAUGCCACCAUCAUUUAAUUCACCUACAUUCACACUAGCAUACAGUAAUUAAUUGACCUAUAUCUAAUCCAAUAACAACAAAAACCUACUCCUCAAUCCAAUGACAACGAAACCUACUUCUUGGACUUCACUUUUGUCCACGUAGAAAAGACCAGUCAGUUGAUAACUUUAAAAAAUAGACUUGAAUCGGAUA
rnacentral:lncRNA from 1 species